GGGAGCCCAUCCAUCCGUGGAUCCAGAGUUCCUAGAGAAGGUGAAAGGGAAAUAAAAUGUUGACAGGGUUCCAGCUCAUGAACUGGCUCCAGAUUCAACCAGUGGUUGGUUCAUCCCAGCCGAGAGCGUUGGGAUCACACACGGCACCUUGGGAAUGAGAUCUCAGCCUACAACAGCAGUUCUGAUUUUUCUUUUUUUCCUUUUCUUUCUUUCUUUUUUUUUCUUUUUUUUUUUUUUUUUUUUUUUUUUUGGCGCAGAAGGACUCUAGCCCCCACCGCCGCCAUCCCAGGGGACAUUUGGCUGUGUCUGGACACGUUUUCGGCUCUCACAAAUGAGGGAAGAGGGUGUUACCGCUGGCAUCUGGUGGGCGGAGGCCAUGGGCACUGCUCAACAUCCUACAAUGCCCAAGACAGCCCCACACAGAGAAUGAUCUGGUCCAAAAUGCUCAGAGCACCAGGACUGACAAACCCUGGCCUGAACAGGGAAGGAAAGGUGUAGAUGAACAAGGCUGGCCUUUACCGAAGACGUGCCUCUCGGGAGGGCGAUCUUGUGGUCUCCUGGAAAAUUCGACUCUCGGAUGGCCCGUUCAACCCCACCGCCACCCCCCACCGCCCCAC